CCCAUUCUGUCAUCUGCCGUCUAGGCAGGCUACAAACCUACCCAACAUCCCUGCUGCUAACCCCCUCCAACUGGCACUGCAAGUGUCAAACACAAGUACCAGCUCAACACAGUCUUCAGUCUCACCAUGGGCUUUCUCUGUUUUGUUACGUAGAUUUUGUUGCUGAUACUGUUUUUUAACUUUCCGUUUCCAUUCUGUAAUUUUCCAGGUUUGAUUUGGGAAGCAGAACACAGCAGCCCAAAUUUGUUGUAAUGUUGGCGGCUACAGCAUGGGCCCUUGGACCCCACAGGAACGCAUAGCAUGCAGGAUCACUUCUGGGCACCUGCCAGUACUCCAGUGCUCCUCUAGGGCCUCCUUGGGUUCCUGUCCUCCUGGUCAGCCUGUCCCCUGAGAAUCUGAAGAGAAGUGAGACAGCUCCUGAGGUUACAGCCAGCCAGCAGAGGCCAAGGCUCCAACACUGAUGGUAGGGCCGGUGGGGCUGGGCGCUCUGGAGUCCCAUCCAUUAUGGGUGGGUGGGACCCUUGGUAUACAUUCAGGGUGAACACCUCAACUUGACUGCUGACACUGCCUGGGUCUCCUCUGCUCUGUGACUUGAGGACACUGACUCAGACUAAAGCCUCACCUCCAAGUUCCUGGAGCUCCUAGAAGAGGAAUCAAGGGGCCCCCAGGGUGCAGGCUGCAAGCACUGCCUCAGUCCCCCAGCACUGUCAGGAGGGUGGGCUGGACUCUGUCAGUUCCCCCACUCAUUUGCAUAGAUGGUCCCUUCUAUGCUCACCCAGGGCCUUCACAUUUCUCCUAGCAGGGCCUGAAUCCUGCCCCUUUGCUGGCCUGAGAAAAUCUCAGAUCAAGAGCUCAUAUUCCUGAUAUGGAACAGAAGGGCAUGAGGGGACCCACAUCUGGCCACACCUGCUCAAGGCUUCACAGCAAGGACAGUAAGAGGUGGCCAUAUUCAGGUGGGUCCGUAUGUCCUGAGAUGAGGAACCUG
rnacentral:lncRNA from 10 species